rnacentral:rRNA from 1 species
UGCUAUGGCCAUGCAACUCUGAACAUGCCCCAUCUCGUCUGAUCUCGGAAGCUAAGUAGGGUUGGGGCUAGUUAGUACUUGGAUGGGAGACCACCCAGGAAGAUCAGGUGCUGUAGGCA